rnacentral:rRNA from 1 species
GACGAACGCUGGCGGCGUGCUUAACACAUGCAAGUCGAACGGAAAGGCCCUGCUUUUGUGGGGUGCUCGAGUGGCGAACGGGUGAGUAACACGUGAGUAACCUGCCCUUGACUUUGGGAUAACUUCAGGAAACUGGGGCUAAUACCGGAUAGGAGCUCCCGCUGCAUGGUGGGGGUUGGAAAGUUUCGGCGGUUGGGGAUGGACUCGCGGCUUAUCAGCUUGUUGGUGGGGUAGUGGCUUACCAAGGCUUUGACGGGUAGCCGGCCUGAGAGGGUGACCGGCCACAUUGGGACUGAGAUACGGCCCAAACUCCUACGGGAGGCAGCAGUGGGGAAUAUUGCACAAUGGGCGGAAGCCUGAUGCAGCAACGCCGCGUGCGGGAUGACGGCCUUCGGGUUGUAAACCGCUUUCGCCUGUGACGAAGCGUGAGUGACGGUAAUGGGUAAAGAAGCACCGGCUAACUACGUG